UAUGCCUCCUGAAUAACUGAGCGGUGAUACAAAGAACACUGUUUGGUUCAGACAGAGGCGUAUAUCAAAUGUCAAACACUCGAAUUUGUUUUAGUGUACGGAACGAUACAACUUUUAUGUUCCUUACCUAGAUUAAUUUGGAUAUUU